rnacentral:sRNA from 1 species
GUUAAAUUGCGUAAAAGCCUAUUAUUUUAGUCAGCUUUUUUAUAUACUGCUCCUAUAGCGUUUAGUUGUUACAGCUAAAUGACAUUUCUCCAUUUUACGGAACUGUUUUCAGUUUUUCGUUGUUCUACGCAGUGGUCACCCCAACCAUUGCGUAUUUUUUUAUCUAAAUUUUGCA